rnacentral:rRNA from 1 species
UUUAUCGGAGAGUUUGAUCCUGGCUCAGGACGAACGCUGGCGGCGUGCCUAAUACAUGCAAGUCGAGCGGAUUGAUGGGAGCUUGCUCCCUGAUAUCAGCGGCGGACGGGUGAGUAACACGUGGGUAACCUGCCUGUAAGACUGGGAUAACUCCGGGAAACCGGGGCUAAUACCGGAUAACUCAUUUCCUCGCAUGAGGAAAUGUUGAAAGGUGGCUUCGGCUACCACUUACAGAUGGACCCGCGGCGCAUUAGCUAGUUGGUGAGGUAACGGCUCACCAAGGC